rnacentral:piRNA from 1 species
UCCUCACUGGAGAGGUGGGCUGGUGUGAA